GCUUAUCACCAUUCCAGAUUGAAUAUACCCGAUCUCGUCUGAUCUCGGAAGUCAAGCAAUCUCGGGCUUGGUUAGUACUUAGAUGGGCGACCGCUUGGGAAUACCAAGUGUGAUAAGCA
rnacentral:rRNA from 1 species